GCUCGCUCUUAGUUUUGUUGCUUUUAGAGUUUGGAAUCAGGCUCAGGACGAACGCUGGCGGCGUGCUUAACACAUGCAAGUCGAGCGGUAAGGCCCUUCGGGGUACACGAGCGGCGAACGGGUGAGUAACACGUGAGCAACCUGCCCCUGACUCUGGGAUAAGCGGUGGAAACGCCGUCUAAUACCGGAUACGACCCGCCACCUCAUGGUGGAGGGUGGAAAGUUUUUCGGUCAGGGAUGGGCUCGCGGCCUAUCAGCUUGUUGGUGGGGUAACGGCCUACCAAGGCGAUUACGGGUAGCCGGCCUGAGAGGGCGACCGGCCACACUGGGACUGAGACACGGCCCAGACUCCUGCGGGAGGCAGCAGUGGGGAAUAUUGCGCAAUGGGCGAAAGCCUGACGCAGCGACGCCGCGUGGGGGAUGACGGCCUUCGGGUUGUAAACCUCUUUUACCACCAACGCAGGCUUCCAGUUCUCUGGAGGUUGACGGUAGGUGGGGAAUAAGGACCGGCUAACUACGUGCCAGCAGCCGCGGUAAUACGUAGGGUCCGAGCGUUGUCCGGAAUUAUUGGGCGUAAAGAGCUCGUAGGCGGCGUGUCGCGUCUGCUGUGAAAGACCGGGGCUUAACUCCGGUUCUGCAGUGGAUACGGGCAUGCUAGAGGUAGGUAGGGGAGACUGGAAUUCCUGGUGUAGCGGUGAAAUGCGCAGAUAUCAGGAGGAACACCGGUGGCGAAGGCGGGUCUCUGGGCCUUACCUGACGCUGAGGAGCGAAAGCAUGGGGAGCGAACAGGAUUAGAUACCCUGGUAGUCCAUGCCGUAAACGUUGGGCGCUAGGUGUGGGGACUUUCCACGGUUUCCGCGCCGUAGCUAACGCAUUAAGCGCCCCGCCUGAGUCCCCACC
rnacentral:rRNA from 1 species